UACAGAGGGUGCAAGCGUUGUUCGGAAUUAUUGGGCGUAAAGCGCGUGUAGGCGGCCUAGCAAGUUGGGUGUGAAAGCCCUCGGCUUAACCGAGGAAGUGCGCCCAAAACUACUAGGCUUGAGUACCGGAGAGGAUGGUGGAAUUCCCGGUGUAGAGGUGAAAUUCGUAGAUAUCGGGAGGAACACCAGUGGCGAAGGCGACCAUCUGGACGGAUACUGACGCUGAGACGCGAAAGCGUGGGGAGCAAACAGG
rnacentral:rRNA from 1 species